AUUGAACGCUGGCGGCAGGCUUAACACAUGCAAGUCGAGCGGAGCGAGGGUGCUUGCACCUUAGCUUAGCGGCGGACGGGUGAGUAAUGCUUAGGAAUCUGCCUAUUAGUGGGGGACAACAUUCCGAAAGGAAUGCUAAUACCGCAUACGCCCUACGGGGGAAAGCAGGGGAUCUUCGGAACUUGCGCUAAUAGAUGAGCCUAAGACGGAUUAGCUAGUUGGUGGGGUAAAGGCCUACCAAGGCGACGAUCUGUAGCGGGUCUGAGAGGAGGAUCCGCCACACUGGGACUGAGACACGGCCCAGACUCCUACGGAAGGCAGCAGUGGGGAAUAUUGGACAAUGGGCGGAAGCCUGAUCCAGCCAUGCCGCGUGUGUGAAGAAGGCCUUUUGGUUGUAAAGCACUUUAAGCGAGGAGGAGGCUCUUAAGGUUAAUACCCUUGAUGAGUGGACGUUACUCGCAGAAUAAGCACCGGCUAACUCUGUGCCAGCAGCCGCCGCAGUAAUAC
rnacentral:rRNA from 1 species